rnacentral:snRNA from 1 species
UUUCUCUCUCUAAAGAUUUGAU